rnacentral:rRNA from 1 species
GAUGAACGCUGGCGGCGUGCCUAACACAUGCAAGUCGAGCGAACGGACGAGAAGCUUGCUUCUCUGAUGUUAGCGGCGGACGGGUGAGUAACGCGUGGAUAACCUACCUAUAAGACUGGGAUAACUUCGGGAAACCGGAGCUAAUACCGGAUAAUAUUUUGAACCGCAUGGUUCAAAAGUGAAAGACGGUCUUGCUGUCACUUAUAGAUGGAUCCGCGCUGCAUUAGCUAGUUGGUAAGGUAACGGCUUACCAAGGCAACGAUGCAUAGCCGACCUGAGAGGGUGAUCGGCCACACUGGAACUGAGACACGGUCCAGACUCCUACGGGAGGCAGCAGUAGGGAAUCUUCCGCAAUGGGCGAAAGCCUGACGGAGCAACGCCGCGUGAGUGAUGAAGGUCUUCGGAUCGUAAAACUCUGUUAUUAGGGAAGAACAUAUGUGUAAGUAACUGUGCACAUCUUGACGGUACCUAAUCAGAAAGCCACGGCUAACUACGUGCCAGCAGCCGCGGUAAUACGUAGGUGGCAAGCGUUAUCCGGAAUUAUUGGGCGUAAAGCGCGCGUAGGCGGUUUUUUAAGUCUGAUGUGAAAGCCCACGGCUCAACCGUGGAGGGUCAUUGGAAACUGGAAAACUUGAGUGCAGAAGAGGAAAGUGGAAUUCCAUGUGUAGCGGUGAAAUGCGCAGAGAUAUGGAGGAACACCAGUGGCGAAGGCGACUUUCUGGUCUGUAACUGACGCUGAUGUGCGAAAGCGUGGGGAUCAAACAGGAUUAGAUACCCUGGUAGUCCACGCCGUAAACGAUGAGUGCUAAGUGUUAGGGGGUUUCCGCCCCUUAGUGCUGCAGCUAACGCAUUAAGCACUCCGCCUGGGGAGUACGACCGCAAGGUUGAAACUCAAAGGAAUUGACGGGGACCCGCACAAGCGGUGGAGCAUGUGGUUUAAUUCGAAGCAACGCGAAGAACCUUACCAAAUCUUGACAUCCUUUGACAACUCUAGAGAUAGAGCCUUCCCCUUCGGGGGACAAAGUGACAGGUGGUGCAUGGUUGUCGUCAGCUCGUGUCGUGAGAUGUUGGGUUAAGUCCCGCAACGAGCGCAACCCUUAAGCUUAGUUGCCAUCAUUAAGUUGGGCACUCUAAGUUGACUGCCGGUGACAAACCGGAGGAAGGUGGGGAUGGCGUCAAAUCAUCAUGCCCCUUAUGAUUUGGGCUACACACGUGCUACAAUGGACAAUACAAAGGGCAGCGAAACCGCGAGGUCAAGCAAAUCCCAUAAAGUUGUUCUCAGUUCGGAUUGUAGUCUGCAACUCGACUACAUGAAGCUGGAAUCGCUAGUAAUCGUAGAUCAGCAUGCUACGGUGAAUACGUUCCCGGGUCU